CGGAACUGACGAAACGGAGGAAUUCAUUACGGGCACGCGCACACGAACACGUACCGACCGUCCAUCGUGAAUGCGGCACAAUGCUUCACUCGACCGUGGAACUACUGGAGUUGUAAUACAGAGGGACCAAAAGUUUCCCGAAUGCCCUCCUCAUCUGUUCUGCAUCAGGAACAGUCCAAACAGCGGCCCAUGCCCGGAGGUGCAGCACUGAGCAGUUAACAUGAAGGUUUGGUGUUUUACAGCUGUGUUUUCCCCUGGAUCAGCUUGGUUUACGGCAGACUCUGGGUCACGCACAGCAUCUCAGCACUGGCAACGUCAAAGGGGGUACAGACCACUUCAAAGUUUAAACACUAAUCCCACC